GCCUGGGUGGCUUAGUUGGUUAAGCGACCGACUUCAGCUCGGGGCAUGAUCUCGUGGCUUGUGAGUUCAAGCCCCACAUCGGGCU
rnacentral:tRNA from 1 species